CCUACGGGAGGCAGCAGUGGGGAAUUUUGGACAAUGGGCGCAAGCCUGAUCCAGCCAUACCGCGUGAGUGAAGAAGGCCUUCGGGUUGUAAAGCUCUUUCAGCCGGAAAGAAAACGUGCGGGUUAAUAACCCGUAUGGAUGACGGUACCGGAAGAAGAAGCACCGGCUAACUACGUG
rnacentral:rRNA from 1 species